AGCGAACGCUGGCGGCAGGCCUAACACAUGCAAGUCGAACGAACUCUUCGGAGUUAGUGGCGGACGGGUGAGUAACACGUGGGAACGUGCCUUUUGGUUCGGAAUAACUCAGGGAACCUUGUGCUAAUACCGAAUGUGCCCUUCGGGGGAAAGAUUUAUCGCCAUUAGAGCGGCCCGCGUCUGAUUAGCUAGUUGGUGAGGUAACGGCUCACCAAGGCGACGAUCAGUAGCUGGUCUGAGAGGAUGACCAGCCACACUGGGACUGAGACACGGCCCAGACUCCUACGGGAGGCAGCAGUGGGGAAUCUUGCGCAAUGGGCGAAAGCCUGACGCAGCCAUGCCGCGUGAAUGAUGAAGGUCUUAGGAUUGUAAAAUUCUUUCACCGGGGACGAUAAUGACGGUACCCGGAGAAGAAGCCCCGGCUAACUUCGUG
rnacentral:rRNA from 1 species